rnacentral:misc_RNA from 1 species
AUUGACUCCUUCUUACAGAGGAAUUUUAUGAUCAACUAAGCAAUAAGGAGGUAAUGUUGUAGUUUCCAAAAAUACUUUUUAAAAUUUUAAUUGAAGGUCCUAGAGCUAGUCAGAUUGUUGGGUAGUCAACUGCUCUUCAAAAAUAAGUUGAUCAAUAGCAUCCAAUUCCCAUAAAAUCGCAGUAAACACAAUAUCAGUUUUUAUGCAAAGAGGUUCAGCAGAAAUAAAAGUGCGGCCAACUCACCAUGCA